rnacentral:rRNA from 2 species
GACGAAGGAUGCAAGCGUUAUCCGGAUUCAUUGGGUUUAAAGGGAGCGUAGGUGGCCUUAUAAGUCAGUGGUGAAAUCCUGUUGCUUAACAACAGAAUUGCCAUUGAUACUGUAGGGCUUGAGUACAGAUGCCGUUGGCGGAAUAUGACAUGUAGUGGUGAAAUACAUAGAGAUGUCAUAGAACACCGAUUGCGAAGGCAGCUGACGAAACUGUAACUGACACUGAGGCUCGAAAGUGCGGGGAUCAAACAGG